rnacentral:pre_miRNA from 1 species
UUUGAGGGGAAUGUUGUCUGGCUCGAAGCCGCCAUUAAUCGUAUCGUAUCUCCUUCGAUCCAUCUUUAAUGGUGUCUUCGGACCAGGCUUCAUUCCCCUCAAU